AUAGAUAUAACACGCAUGAGCGAUUAUGAGCAACGCGCGAGUACUCAUUUUAUGCAGCACGUGCGUGAUGCAACUUCGUUAAAAUCUGUCGUGACGGGGACGCUCCGCUUUGUGCGAUACUCCGUCGCCGAGACUCGUGUACAUAAAAAGCCUUUUAGAAGCUUUUCAAGUUUCAUGGAAAUACAUUUUUUUUACGGUUCCUUACUCAUGAAAUAUUCAAUUUUCUCACACGAAUUCAUAGUUUUUCAUAACAAUGAUUAAAAACGAUAUUUCCACUUCAAUUUCAAUGAAAAAAUGUGAAUUAUUCUUUGGAGUUACGAGUGUAGAGUUCUCUUACGGAGAAACAGGCGAGAAAGUGUGAACGGGGUCGCCAGAAAAACAAGAAAAAUUUAUUAGAAGUACGAUGAGAGUAAACAGUGCGAUUCUCGCAAGCAAAGCGAUCGAAAUUAUCCAUAUUUAUGGGGAAGAGAAGAAAAGGAAGUCGAAGGAGCCUUCCUCCUUGCACGAGUUGAGGGAUGAAAAGGGCGAUCCGGUUGGUCCAGCCAUUGGUGUGCGUUUACGGCAACUUGGGUUCCGAGCGGUUUAGUCAGAACGAGGACGUCACCGACGACUGCAUUAUCUGGUUUCGUGAUCCGGAAAAUACGAUUCUGAUUGUUGUUAAUGAAAAAAAUACCCACACAAUGUAUUCGUUCGGCUGACAAACCGUCGAGGCAACGCCGCCUAUGGUGCACCAUGGAUUAACAACAGUUUGACCACCAGUAACC